CAGCGCCACGAGUGGCAUCCGCAAUUGUUGGGCCUAAAGCGUCCGUAGCAUGCUUUGUUAAUCUUUUGUGAAAUCAUGGGGCUUAACUCCAUGACGUGCAGGAGACACUGCAGAGCUAGGAACCGGGAGGAGUCAGAGGUAUUCUGGGGGGAGCGGUAAAAUGUUAUAAUCCCCGGAGGACCACCUGUGGCGAAGGCGUCUGACUAGAACGGAUUCGACUGUGAGGGACGAAAGCUGGGGGAGCAAACCGGAUUAGAGACCCGAGUAGUCC
rnacentral:rRNA from 1 species